GAGUUUGCGCGUGUUUCUCGAUUUAGGCGCGUGACAUAUUUCCACGCGGCCUCUGGCUACGUGUGUCCGAACGCACCUGUCGCGUCCUCCUCCUUCUCCGUUCACCACCGAUCUCCUGUCCUGGUCUCCCACUACGGUGGAAUUCAAGUAUCGUCUCCGACCGAGGAUCCACUUCGACUGCGAUUUGCGCGCAUAUCCGCGUGCUACCGUGUGCGUGGCCCACAUCCCAGGCUAAAUCCAUGGACACGCUCCGACUCGGUGGUGAACGGAUCUUUCGCGGAUUUCCGCGCGAGAAGAUUAGAACCCUAUUCUGCUAUGUUACGAUUCAUUCUGCAAUAAGGACGAGAUUGAACGUUGGUAUUCGCACGGCUCUAUGUGCACCGGAAGUAUGCCGGGGACACCAGUGCGUUUCCUGUGGUGUGUAAGUGGUCUGCUGCUGCUCUCUUCCCGGAGAACAACGCGUUGGCCGUUCACCGAUCUCUCUUCCAUUUUUAAUCAACGACUCGAGCUGGUAAGGGAGCGUUACGACUUCCGCUCGAUUACCUCCCGUAGUGACUAUUAAACAUUCGACUGUGUUACGACACCGAUACAUCAACAGAUCUAAAUGGUAGUAUUAAUAGCGUAGUUAAAUAAUAAUUAUUAAAUAAUAAAGAUUACACACAGUUAUACACAUUAAUAAAAUUAUCGCCUAAUUAUGUUUCCUUUUCUUGUGAGGUGUACUAUCGAUCUUUCGAUUUGGAUUUCGAUCUAUCGAUUUUUCUAAUUUAAAUGAAAUUGCAUUGUUAACGCUACGCGUUGAUUAAUAGCGCAAUUUUGAGCCGAAGGAAGGAGGUCUACAAAGAGAAACGUAUCGCUCGUCAGUUUUCCUCUCCGUAUACGUAAUUGCACACGUGUGAGCGAGUCUUGCGAGAAUCACUGUAUCGAGAAGCUGUCUUUCGAUGUUCCGGUUAGUUGGGUCGACUCUCAGCAUUUGCUCCUGCAUCUCGUCCCUUCGAUUUUUAAUUCCCGGCUGCAUGAGUUCGCGCGCACGACACGACGCGACCGCGCUCGCUGAUAGUUCUCAGAUAUACGCCGCACGUGGUGCAAAACGUGAUUGUCCCCCUCGACUGGUUUUGUCUUUCUCUGUCUCUUCGUGGCGGGAAUCGUUCUCGGUUACCCCGUGAAUAAUUAGUCGACUACGAAGACGAGAGCGCCUCGUCUUUUGCUCCGCGUCGCGAUGCAUAAAAACUUUAUGCACAGUAUUGUACGGUGAAAUUGCAGCACCGCGAAAAAAUUUAAUUUUAAACUUCACGUUUUAGAUAUGAUAUAUGUCAAAGGCAAGGUUCCGCGAAAAGUACGACGGGGGAGAGGGAGGAAGAAAUUAUCUUUCUAUUUUAAUUAAAAUCGUGGAAAAAUGUUGAAAAUGUUCUACACGUAUAAUGGAAUCUGAAACGCAAGCGGCUUAUCUUAAUAACAACUAUAUCAAAAAUCAAGAUUCGUUAGAACAAUUUAAGAGAUUUUAAUUUAUUUAUUUUAUAUAAUUUAUUUUAUUUUAUUAAAUAAUUACGCAGAACAAUAUUCUUAGCUUGUUAUGUGAUAUUUUUUAUGUUCUGUUUGCUUUUCGAUAUCACCGUGACAACGAGAUGCGGUCAUGCUGAAUAGAAUGAAUAAUGCCAAAUAGAAGAACACUGGCUCGAUUGUGCGAAAAUCACCGUCUAAUUGUCGAUUCAAGCACUGAUUGCGAAAGUCGUGUCUCGACUUAAAUGUCAGACGAAUGUGCAACGACUACGCGCGCGUGUAAACCGCUUACAUUUAUCUGUAAGGAGGUCGCAUCGUGUGUAUCCUUAUCGGGGACGAGGCAUUGUCGAAGCUGUUGCAUCGCUCGGUGCGUCUCCCUUGUGUCUCAGUCGACUAUUAUGCGUCUUCUCCCUUCGAUUGCGUCGACGUGUGAUGCAUGCCACACGUCACAGGUGCAACGUGUACUGCGUGCUGAAGCAUUCUCAGUGGCACGAUGCUCUUUUCACCAUAUAUACGAGUUUCAACCACUGGUGUUUGCUGUACCUCUUCGCAUCACGAAGAAAGCGUAUUUAAAACAAAAACAUACUCGUUUAUAUGAAAAAAAGGAUUAAUUAAAAAAUAUUAUAUAAUUAGGCAGUAUUUGGUGACGAAUUUGUGUAUUCUCUUUUUGAAGUAAUUAAAAUAGUUGUAGCGAUAAAAGCAAUCUAAGAGAUAUAAUUAAUAAUUUCAUUAAAAAACUCUGCUGGUGCUAUGAUGAUAAUAUUUUGCGAGUGCACUGAAAAUUCUCGCGAGACUUCUAACGAGGUACGUAAUGUAAAAAUACUGUCAUCCUACACGUAGUUUCGGCUGGGAACGAUAUUUUUACAUUUAUCCCUUCCGCUACUACGGGCCCUUUCCUAAUUAUGCGGGAGAAUAAAUUAUAACUCCCUUAGUUGCCUGCUUCUCAUAUAAUUUCGUGGCACGUACUAUACACACGUUCAUAUUAUUUGUAAAUGGAGUAACUCAGUAGACUCAAAAUUAGCAGUAAUUGUUUUUUUUUAUAUUACAUGUAAUUUUUUUAUCAAAGACAAAUUUUGCAGAAAUUUCCUGGAUGAAAUCUAACAAGGUUCGGCGAGGUCAUGCAAGGCGAGAUUUAAUAUGUUAUCCAACAUGUUAUAAAUGAGAGUAGACGAAAUGAGCCUUAAUAUUCCAUUAAGCUCCUGAAUUACAGCAAUUAGUAUAUUUGAUUUAUCGUAUUGCGUGCUUUAGUUUAAGGAAAUACAAAGACUUUAUCGCGUUUCUUGGCGCUCGUCGAGAUUAAGGUGCAUGCGAAGCCGAUGACGCGUCGCGAUUAGCGGCUCACGGGGAAUGCCCCGUGAGAAAUCCUAAGACGGUGAUAUUAGCUUUAACAGUCCAUACGUGGUUUAUUCGCCUUGUAAAUUCGCCAUAGUGGUGGCGUCGGCACGUGAACGCACGAACGUGUAUACGCGCUCUUCCUCCUCACUCUCUCUCUGUUUCUCUUCCGACUUUAUACGCGCCGUGUGUGCCCACACAUAAGUGAAUGGAAUUUGCCUAGCCGCCUCUCCGCGGAAUUUCAUUUUCCGACCCAUCCACCAUCGCCAAAGUCCUCACUCCUUCCUCCUCGGCUCUCGCAUCUGCACUUCCUCCCCUGGAGACAGCGUGGAGAGAUCCUGAGGGCGGUGUUAUGUCACAAUUUGCAGGCUGACAGUCGCGAUUCAUCGUGAUCCCGAGGACGAAUUCGCGUCCCUGCUCUCCUCGGUAAGAGGGUGUAAAAAAUGGGCACGUUGAAAGUAAAGGAAAAGGGAUGUGACGGCGGCUUGGAGGAGGCACGUACGAAAUAAGAUGCGCGUCUCGGGGAAGACGGAUAACGGCGUCUCCGCAUUGAGAGGAGAUAUUUACGGUCAAGAAUGUUUCGAGAGCCGAGAAUUUUUAUAAUGGCUGUCCGAUAUCGUUCCUUUUAUCAUCCUUGAUCAUAUCUCUUUAUUUCGGCUUAGUCUUGGUUGAUAUAAUGACAUAUUUAUACCAUGAA